rnacentral:rRNA from 1 species
UACGAAGGGGGCUAGCGUUGCUCGGAAUUACUGGGCGUAAAGGGCGCGUAGGCGGACAGUUUAGUCAGGGGUGAAAGCCCAGGGCUCAACCUUGGAACUGCCUUUGAUACUGACUGUCUUGAGUUCGGGAGAGGUGAGUGGAAUGCCGAGUGUAGAGGUGAAAUUCGUAGAUAUUCGGCGGAACACCAGUGGCGAAGGCGACUCACUGGCCCGAUACUGACGCUGAGGCGCGAAAGCGUGGGGAGCAAACAGG